CAGUAGCCACGGUAAUACGGAGGGUGCAAGCGUUAAUCGGAAUUACUGGGCGUAAAGCGCACGCAGGCGGUCUGACAAGUCAGAUGUGAAAUCCCCGGGCUUAACCUGGGAACUGCAUCCAAAACUGGUGAGCUAGAGUACGGUAGAGGGUAGUGGAAUUUCCUGUGUAGCGGUGAAAUGCGUAGAUAUAGGAAGGAACACCAGUGGCGAAGGCGACUACCUGGACUGAUACUGACACUGAGGUGCGAAAGCGUGGGGAGCAAACAGGAUUAGAUACCCCCGUAGUCCCUGUCUCUUAUAC
rnacentral:rRNA from 1 species